CCCCCACCGCCAUUCAAAAUGAAGGAAAUGAAAUUCGUGGAGCGUGGAGAUUUUGUUAGGAUAAGCAGCGCGCACAGCUCCCCGCCCCCCGAGCUUGAAGAUUCAGAUCUGAUGUCAGUUAAAUCCGAAGGUGGAGAUUCAAUAGGGCCUUCAGUUUCUUGCCCGAGCCCGGAUGUGAAUGUCAAGGCUGAAACUUUCAUUACCAGGCGCCAUAAUGAAUGGAAACAGGACAAGAUGAACUCAAUCAAAGAGAAGAGAAAGUUGGGCUGAUGUCCUGGCCCGGUCCCAUUUUGCAUAAUCUGACUGUUAAAAUCGUGGUAUGAAUUUUACUUAUAUUUUAAAGAAGGGAAAAAAUAAAUAAAUAAAUAAAAAAUGGGUUGGUUAUGGUGUAAUAUACAGUAAAUAAUAUAUAAGAAUAACAAGAGGUAAUAAUAUGUGUAGGCAGAGAAUGGAGAUUGUGGCUCUGAUUGUGUUUUUGACCUCAAAUUAUAGCCCAUCUGAUUGCAGCAGAGUGAGAACUAGAGCUUUAAAAGUUUGAUUUUGAAUUGUGGGCUCUGAUUGUAAUUUUUGUUCCACUUUCAAAGUCCUUUUUAUUUGUUAACAGAGCGUUUUUGAAUUCAACGUUGAACUUGAACAUUCCUUUUUGUUUGUGAAGUGAUCCUAGUUUGACGUGAACUGUUAGUUGAUAUGUAAACUUAUACAGUAUGGAAUAUGUCCCGAAUUCGAUCAUUUCGAAUUCAAGCUACC
rnacentral:lncRNA from 1 species